rnacentral:lncRNA from 1 species
UUAUUCCCCCUUCAACCAAACAAUGCCAUUAUUUUUUGUUGCUAUUGGAAUUCUAUGAUGGGUUGUUUUGUUUUAAGCACGUUAUGUGUUUGAUUCUAUGCGUCGAAGAGCGAAUUGGAUAUCUCCAACAAUUUCCAAACGAAUCGUGAUGAAACUGGAGGCCCUUGUGCCCACCGGAUAGGAAAUGAUUUCCGGGGAGGAAUCUACACCUGGUGAUGACCAGGUGUCAUCAUGUAGCAAAGAAGAUGCUGGUGGUGAACCUGGUGAUGGUAGAGGCAGCCACUGGGCGUUUCUCCGAUCAGAUCGAAUAUCUAGGUCCUCCUGCAUUGAGACCACAAGCAAGAAGCCAAUUAAAACGGGUUCCAUUUCAUAAUCCCAACCAUCCUAUCAUUAUAUAAUUUGAAUGACAGUUUUAAUUUCCAACCAUUUCAUGUUUUCCUUCACAAAAAUAAAACUGGGC